CAUGUACAUGGAAGAGCACAACGUAUUGAGAUCACUGCAAAGUGGGUUUUGCGUGUAUGAUUCUAGGGGUUUUAAUUAUGAUAAAAUGGGAGAGGCCCUCGAGGAAUUGUCGAGUUGGAUGAUCGAUGGGGUGCACCAUAAUCAGCCGUGCUUGAGAUCAGGGGAUCAUACUUUGCUCAAAGAUGAUGCAGAAACCGCAGCUCUAAGAUCGUCUUCAAAGUUUGUGCAGAGGAGAGUGAAUUGUGCUAUGGUGGUGGUUAAUAUAGCUGAAGUUCAU
rnacentral:misc_RNA from 1 species